rnacentral:rRNA from 1 species
GACGAACGCUGGCGGCGUGCCUAAUACAUGCAAGUCGAACGAACCGCGACUAAGUGCUUGCACUAAGUCAAGGUGAGUGGCGAACGGGUGAGUAACACGUGGGUAACCUACCUCAUAGUGGGGGAUAACAGUCGGAAACGACUGCUAAUACCGCAUAGGACAUAGGAUCACAUGAUCCAGUGAGGAAAGGUGGCGCAAGCUAUCGCUAAGAGAUGGACCCGCGGUGCAUUAGCUAGUUGGUAGGGUAAAGGCCUACCAAGGCGAUGAUGCAUAGCCGACCUGAGAGGGUGAUCGGCCACAUUGGGACUGAGACACGGCCCAAACUCCUACGGGAGGCAGCAGUAGGGAAUCUUCCGCAAUGGACGCAAGUCUGACGGAGCAACGCCGCGUGAGUGAAGAAGGUCUUCGGAUCGUAAAGCUCUGUUGCUAGAGAAGAACAGCGCAUAGAGUAACUGCUAUGCGUGUGACGGUAUCUAACCAGAAAGCCACGGCUAACUACGUG